rnacentral:rRNA from 1 species
UACGUAGGGUGCGAGCGUUGUCCGGAAUUAUUGGGCGUAAAGGGCUCGUAGGCGGUUUGUCGCGUCGGGAGUGAAAACUCAGGGCUUAACCCUGAGCCUGCUUCCGAUACGGGCAGACUAGAGGUAUGCAGGGGAGAACGGAAUUCCUGGUGUAGCGGUGAAAUGCGCAGAUAUCAGGAGGAACACCGGUGGCGAAGGCGGUUCUCUGGGCAUUACCUGACGCUGAGGCACGAAAGCGUGGGGAGCAAACAGG